rnacentral:lncRNA from 1 species
GUGUAGGUCCUGUUGUUGUCCAAUAGAGACAUAUCACCUAGAACCAUAAAUAUCUAGUGGUGCUACUGUUGAAACUUGAAACUGGAGCGAGUUAUUUGGGGUGGCUCAACAUGUCAUAGCAAUAUGGUGCCUAGAGCACCUUAUCUUCUUAUGUCUUAUUAUUUGGCACAAACCAAACUUUAUUAUAUUAAGUAUUCACGUUUCUAAAGACAAAUUGUUUCGUAUUCUGCUUCCGUGGGUUUCAUUGUAUAUGCUUGCCGUGUAUGUUAAAAAUUCAGUUAAAAAUAGCAAAUUCAGGCACAAGUCAUGUUUUGAAUCUGGCAACGUGCAAUUUGAAUUAUUGUCGUCCUCUUUAUCUCUUCUAGAUUUUUUUUUGCGGAAAUCUCUUCUAGAUUUUAGAUUCAUCAACCAGGGUAUCAUUUCCAACCAUCAAUGUCCUAGCAGGAGAUCACUUCCUUUUUUUGCGUAUGUCCUUCCUUAUCUUUUCCAUCCUUAAAUUAUAAGAUACGUAGCAGCGCGCAGAUGUAUAUAGAAAUAUUAUCCUUCUUUAUUUCUCUUUUGAAGAGCCUCUGGUUCCUUCCUUAUUUAUCAUGAUCUCUGAGAGACUUCCUGAUACCCAGGAAAUGAAUGAUGUAUAUAAAUAAGAUAGAUUGGAUGUAAAUCAGCGAGGUGGGACUAUUCAAUAUCGGCCUCAACCUUCCCUUGUAGACACAGGACGUUAGCUUAGUUGGCCUUGAUUUUUGCCUCUUAACCGGGAUAGAUGGGCCUCAACUUUCCCUUGUACACACAGGAUGUUAGCUUAGUUGGCCUUGAUUUUUGCCUCUUAACCGGGAUAGAUGGGCCGGAUUUUCUGGACCAUGACACAUGGGUUGGUUCGUUCGCUCGGCCUCGCUGGCUGACGAAGGAAACUGACGUACGAAAUAGCGGACGGACGAAACGGACGAAAAUCAGGGCGUAAGAAGCGUUUCGUGCUUUAUUAUUAGGUAAAGAUGUGUAGGUCCUGUUGUUGUCCAAUAGAGACAUAUCACCUGGAACCAUAAAUAUCUAGUGGUGAUACUGUUGAAACUUGAAACUGGAGCGAGUUAUUUGGUGUGACUCAACAUGUCAUACCAAUAUGGUGCCUAGAGCAGCUUAUCUUCUUAUGUCUUAUUAUUUGGCACAAACCAAACUUUAUUAUUUUAAGUAUUCACGUUUCUAAAGACAAAUUGUUUCGUAUUCUGCUUCCGUGGGUUUCAUUGUAUAUGCUUGCCGUGUGUGUUAAAAUUUCAGUUAAAAAUAGCAAAUUCAGGCAUAUGUCAUGUUUCGAAUCUGGCAACGUCCAAUUUGAAUUAUUGUCGUCCUCUUUAUCUCUUCUAGAUUUUUUUUUGCGGAAAUCUCUUCUUGAUUUUAGAUUCAUCAACCAGGGUAUCAUUUCCAACCGUCAGUGUCCUAGCUGGAGAUCACUUCCUUUUUUUGCGUAUGUCCUUCCUUAUCUUUUCCAUCCUUAAAUUAUAAGAUACGUAGCAGCGCGCACAUGUAUAUAAAAAUAUUAUCCUUCUUUAUUUCUCUUGUGAAGAGUCUCUGGUUCCUUCCUUAUUUACCAUGAUCUCUGAGAGACUUCCUGAUACCCAGGAAAUGAAUGAUGUAUAUAAAUAAGAUAGAUUGGAUGUAAAUCAGCUAGGUGGGACUAGUCAAUAUCGGCCUCAACCUUCCCUUGUAGACACAGGACGUUAGCUUAGUUGACCUUGAUUUUUGCUUCUUAACCGGGAUAGAUGGGCCUCAACUUUCCCUUGUACACACAGGACGUUAGCUUAGUUGGCCUUGAUUUUUGCCUCUUAACCGGGAUAGAUGGGCCGGUUUUCUGGACCAUGACACAUGGGUUGGUUCGUUCGCUCGGCCUCGCUGGCUAACGAAGGAAACUGACGUACGAAAUAGCGGACGGAUGAAACGGACGAAAAUUAGGGCGUAAGAAGCGUUUCGUGCUUUAUUAUUAGGUAAAGAUGUGUAGGUCCUGUUGUUGUCCAAUAGAGACAUAUCACCUGGAACCAUAAAUAUCUAGUGGUGAUACUGUUGAAACUUGAAACUGGAGCGAGUUAUUUGGUGUGGCUCAACAUGUCAUAGCAAUAUGGUGCCUAGAGCAGCUUAUCUUCUUAUGUCUUAUUAUUUGGCACAAACCAAACUUCAUUAUAUUAAGUAUUCACGUUUCUAAAGACAAAUUGUUUCGUAUUCUGUCUCCGUGGGUUUCAUUGUAUAUGCUUUCCAUGUGUGUUAAAAAUUCAGUUAAAAAUAGCAAAUUCAGGCACAUGUCAUGUUUCGAAUCUGGCAACGUGCAAUUUGAAUUACUGUCGUCCUCUUUAUCUCUUCUAGAUUUUUUUUGCGGAAAUCUCUUCUAGAUUUUAGAUUCAUCAACCAGGGUAUGAUUUCCAACCGUCAAUGUCCUAGCAGGAGAUCACUUCCUUUUUUUGUGUAUGUCCUUCCUUAUCUUUUCCAUCCUUAAAUUAUAAGAUACGUAGCAGCGCGCACAUGAAUAUAUAAAUAUUAUCCUUCUUUAUUUCUCUUGUGAAGAGCCUCUGGUUCCUUCCUUAUUUAUCAUGAUCUCUGAGAGACUUCCUGAUACCCAGGAAAUGAAUGAUGUAUAUAAAUAAGAUAGAUUGGAUGUAAAUCAGCGAGGCGGGACUAUUCAAUAUCGGCCUCAACCUUCCCUUGUAGACACAGGACGUUAGCUUAGUUGGCCUUGAUUUUUGCCUCUUAACCGGGAUAGAUGGGCCUCAACUUUCCCUUGUACACACAGGACGUUAGCUUAGUUGGCCUUGAUUUUUGCCGCUUAACCGGGAUAGAUGAGCCUGAUUUUCUGGACCAUGACACAUGGGUUGGUUCGUUCGCUCGGCCUCGCUGGCCGACGAAGGAAACUGACGUACGAAAUAGCGGACGGACGAAACGGACGAAAAUCAGGGCGUAAGAAGCGUUUCGUGCUUUAUUAUUAGGUAAAGAUGUGUAGGUCCUGUCGUUGUCCAAUAAAGACAUAUCACCUGGAACCAUAAAUAUCUAGUGGUGAUACUGUUGAAACUUGAAACUGGAGCGAGUUAUUUGGUGUGGCUCAACAUGUCAUAGCAAUAUGGUGCCUAGAGCAGCUUAUCUUCUUCUGUCUUAUUAUUUGGCACAAACCAAACUUUAUUAUAUUAAGUAUGCACGUUUCUAAAGACAAAUUGUUUCGUAUUCUGCUUCCGUGGGUUUCAUUGUAUAUGCUUGCCGUGUGUGUUAAAAAUUCAGUUAAAAAUAGCACAUUCAGGCACAUGUCAU